CACAUUAUUAUGCAUAAACCAAACUGCACUGGAUAUAUCCACAGGAGCCACAGGACUCUCAACAUUAGCCGCAGGAACCGCCUUUGCAGGUUUUUCUGGUGCAGGUGCCACUGGUGCUGGAGCUGGAGCAUGAGAAGCAAAAAUGUCCUUAGGGAGAAGAACCUUUUCAAUCUUAUAAAUGGCAAGCUGGUUGUCUGUGUAUACGGUGCCAGAUAAACUUGUAUUGGUAAGUCCUGUGGUUAUGUUCACUGAGUUUGGAUAACUUGUCACAUUAAGUGGUAACCUACUGCCUGUUCUAGCCCAUGUACCUAGAGGGUUACUUACAGUCUGCAACUGGGAAGUAGAGAGGAAUGUUGGAAUUACGUGGAACUUCACUAACUCAGACUUGUCUCCAUCACUUAGAGUGUUGAGAGUUCCUGAUUUGAGUUCCGAAAAUGCGCUAUCCGUUGGUGCAAAGAUGGUUAAACCAGUGCUUGAAUCAUUUAGCGCGGAGAACAAGUGGUUUCCUCUUGGGUGGAUCUCAAAAGGCGGAUAAAGAUCGUGAAGUGGCCAGCCUUCUCAAGGAUUUUGGUUACGUUGGUGAUGCCAUGCGGUGCAGCUGCCUGUGCUGGGGUUGCUGCUGGAGGUUGUGUCACAACCACUGCUGGUGCGUGCGCUGGGGCUGCAGCUGGUGACUGGGCAAAGGUAUAGGUGCAUUGGAGGAAAAGAAGGAAAAUAAAAAAAUGAGAUUGACUGUUGCUUCAUGUUUAUGUUUUUGGGCUAUAUGCUAGAAAUGAUACAAAAAUGUUAAUGUAAAUUGAGCUUGAUCUUAGUUAGAAAAGUGUUUGAUGUGUAAAGAAGGGACAGAGUCAGGUUUUAUAGUUGUUGGCAGAGGAUCAAGCUAGGUGCAAUGUACAAUUUUAGUUAUACAAUUAGGUAGCUAGUAUCUCAUCUUUUUCCGAAAGGUGGAGGGUAUCAAUGGAGAGGCAAGUUCAACAAUGCUGCAACAACUAAUUUUCUUGGAAAUGCAGGGAAAAAAAAUAGAUUAUAAAAAGUGGAUUUCAAGUGGGUGUGCCAGCAAAUGAAGAUAUCUAUGAUUGUCAAAAUUAUAAUUCUGAAUCAUCUCUGGCAGAACAUUUGAGCAUAGACUUCUGAACAUCAAAACAAAUCAUCUGUAAUGGCAGAGGAGUUUGACAUGAAAUCUCAACUGAUUCAUCUUUAAUAGCUUUGAUCUAGCUCCUUGAGCUUAAAAGAGUCGCAUCCUUGAAUCCAUGACAGAUUUCGAUAGACUACUUUCCAAAUUCACACGUCCAGAAAUCAAAUCUCACCCAUACCACCACUUGACAUGACAUGAUCAAGAUACACUUACCUUAUUAUGUACUUUAUUUGAUGUUUGUGGCAAGCCUUCUUUCAAGGUUUAUGCAAUCUUCGAGUAAGCUGACUUUUUAGGGAAACAAAGAGAGUCCUAAGAUAUCGACGCAGACAUAAACAACAAAAGAAAGACAGCAACUGCAUAGGAUCAACACGCAAAUUUCAAAUUUUGUUACCUUUCUAAACUAGAAAACCUGAAAAUAAAAAAAAAUGCAAUAAAAAUAUUUAAAAAACUAGAAAAUUUAAAAAUAAAAAGGAAAAAUUACAAAUCUAACCUGAAUAGCACCUUUUGGGUCUAGAUGUCUUCCAGACCUGCUGACCAUUACAUAUAUAGGCCUAUAUAGCAAAAUUUGAGCAUGAUUCAGUUGUGAAAUUGAAAGCUGUAAUUAUGGGUCUUUUUGUCAAGUCAAUCACUCUGCCCAUCCCAAAUAUUGUUUUGGGCUUUGUUCUUUACCAUCAGUCCAUAGACAUUCCUUCAAGACUAUCCAUGCGGCCCAGUGAGGGGAAUGACUGAUUUUGGAGUGUUGUUUGAAGCUACUGGCUAUAGAAAAUUGACUACUCUGAUAGUGAUUGGGCUGGUUCAGUCGAUGAUAUGAAGAGCACAACAGGUUGUGUUCGAUAUCGGUUCAGGUGCACUUUCUUCGGUGACCAAGAAGCAAGAACCGUGGCACAAUCCACUGGAGAAGCAGAGUGCAUAACUUCAGCAGCAACUAUGAAUCCAGCCAUACGGUUAAGGAAACUUGUCCAAGAUAUGGGGCAGCAACAGCAUGUAGCAACUAGAAUUCAAGUUGACAACAAGUCGGCCAUUGCAAUUGCAAUAGCAAAAUAUUCAGUUAGUCAAGGAAAAACCAAGCAUAUCAAAAUGAAGUUUCAGAGCUCAUGAUGUAGAGAAAGCUAAUGCGGUGACCUUUAGCUGUUGUUACGCAGAAAAGCAACUUGCAGAUAUAUUGCAGCGAGAGCUUCCACAAAUAUACAUCCUUACCUUCACUGCAAGCAUCUGCAUGUAAUAACAAACUUUUAUGAAAAGUUGUCAUUAAGAAGAAUAGAAGAAGCCUAUCCAGAAAAUACAUGAAGCAAGUUGAAACUAGAAUUAUUAUCCAUCACUUGCACACGGAACCAUCUGCAUAUACCAAUACAAGAGCUUACCUGUUAUAUUUGUUUCAUGAGUCCUGACAGGUAAUAUAGCAAGGAAAUUCUUUUUGCACCAGAAGUUUGCCAGCCCAAAGUAGGAGAUAAUAUAGCAGUCUAGUAAAGGUUGUUCUGUAUCAGAAGCCUUGUUUUUUGACAAUUAGCAUUUUCUUCUCUUUUGAAUAAUUGAAUUGUCAAUUGUCUUCUAACCUUAUAGCUUAAAGAAAACUACAUUUCGGUUCGAAACAUACUUUUGUGAAUUCCAAAAUCACAAUGAAACAUACUUGUAUAAAUUAAUGUGUAGCUCUAACUUAUCACUAGCUUCAAAACGUCAAUACUACAAGAUGAAGGAAAAACACAGAUGGGUUGCAUUAAUCCUGCUGUGCAGCACACAAAGGCGCUGCGAAUGAGCAAGUGACCUCACACGCCAGUCCCCAAUGCUCUUUUAUGUCCAAGAAUGGAAUGUUUGCUUAAAUCAAACCGGAUAAGUCCUUGAAGCAGUGUUGACAGUAAAGUAACUAAGCUUUAGCUCCUUUAGCUUUAAAGAACCAAACUCUUUACUUUCUUAUUCAUUCCCUACAAAUUUCAACAGAUAAGCUUUCCAAAUACGUACCCAGAAAUCAUCUACAAAGUCAUCCUAUUGAAGAAAAAAGCAAAGGAAACAAUGACCUCAGAGACUGGAGCCUCAUGGAGGAAUGGUCUUAUUUAAACAAAAGCUAGGGAAUAAGUAGAUGGCACCAAGGUGAUAGGAAAUGAAAUGAAAUGAAAAAACAAGAUUGACUAUAUAUAUAUAUGUAUGUACGUACGUAUGUAUUCCAAUUUGACCAAGAAAUUAAUCAACAGCUCAGAAUUCAACCUUAAUCACAAACCCAAAUCAUACAAACUGGAUUCAAGGUAAAAUCAGAAUUAUUCAACACACAAUCGGCCGGCGCAGCAAAAUAAAGCACCAAACCGGACACAACCCUACAUAUAUCAUAUCAAGAUUCGAAAUACUUCUACAUUACAGAGAAAACAUUGCAGAAGCAAGUAACCCAACUGAUCCCACCACAAGAUUAUGAGUAAAGAUAAGUGCACUAGAUAUAUCCACAGAAGCUGCAGGACUCUCUACAGUAACUGCAGGAACUGCCUUUGUUGGCUUUUCUGGUGCAGAUGCCACUGGUGCUGGAGCUGGAGCAUUAGAAGCAAAAAUGUCCUUAGGGAGGAGCACCUUUUCAAUUUUAUAAAUGGCUAGCUGGUUGUCUGUGUAUACGGUGCCAGAUAAACUUGUAUU
rnacentral:lncRNA from 1 species